rnacentral:lncRNA from 1 species
UUUGAUCAAGUUUGAACAUGAUUGUGAUUUGACUCUAGUUUUAUAUGCUAGAGAAUCGAAUAUUUUGGGAAUUGGGAUGUUCGUGAAAAUUGAAUUUGAGUUUAGUUUAAUGACAUUUCGGUCGAUAUCGGAUUUAGGUUUAGUUUAACGACGUUUCGGUCGGUUGAUUUGGUGGAUUAGUUUAACGCUGUUUCGGUCGAAGGUUUGGGUUUGGUUCACAAGGUUUAUAGGUAUUGGGUAUAUGGGAUUAUGGUUCAUGAACUUAGAUAUGGUUCAUGGGUUUAUGGUUCAUGGACUUAUGGUUCAUGGGUUUAUGGUUCAUGAACUUGGUGUAUGGUUUGUAGGUUUAUGAUCCAUGGCUCAUGAACUUGAUUUGAUUCAUGAACUUGAUUCAUAAUUCGUGGAUUUGGUGUAUGGUAUGGUCCACAGGAUUUGGUGUAUGGUUUGGUCCAUGGUUUUGGUUCAAAGUUCAUGGACUUGGUUAAGGUUAUGGGCUUGGAUAUGGGUUAAAUGUGUAUGGGUUCAUGGGUAAAUAUAUAUAGGUUUAUGUAUAUGGGUUUAUGGGUUAAUGGUUUUAAUGAGUUUUGGAUAAUGGGCUUUGAUAGUGGGCCCAAAUGGGUUUUGGACUGGGGCCAUUUGUAAAUGGGCUCUGGGCUUUUGACUAGGCCUAGAUUUAAUUGGAUUGGGUUAUGGGUUAUGGGUUAGACGUGUAGAUUGGUUAUUGGGUUCAGACUUGGGCUGAAUUCAUUUUGAUGUGGAUUCGGGCUCAAUAUGGGCUGAACUCAUUUUGAUGUGGAUUCGGGUUCAAUAUGGACCAAAUCAUUUUGGAUAUGGAUUUGGACUCAAUACGGGCUCAUUUCAUUUUGGAUUCGGGUUCAAAAUGGGCCAAAUCAUUUUGAAUUUAGACUCGGGCUCAAUAUGGGCUCAUUUUGGAUUUGGACUUGGGCUUUGGC